rnacentral:rRNA from 1 species
AUUGAACGCUGGCGGCAGGCUUAACACAUGCAAGUCGAACGAGUGGCGGACGGGUGAGUAAUGUCUGGGAAACUAGCUUAUGGAGGGGGAUAACUACGGGAAACUGUAGCUAAUACCGCGUACCAUAGGAUGAGCCCAAGUGGGAUUAGGUAGUUGGUGGGGUAAAGGCUCACCUAGCCGACGAUCUCUAGCUGGUCUGAGAGGAUGACCAGCCACACUGGGACUGAGACACGGCCCAGACUCCUACGGGAGGCAGCAGUGGGGAAUAUUGCGCAAUGGGGGCAACCCUGACGCAGCCAUGCCGCGUGAAUGAAGAAGGCCUUCGGGUUGUAAAGUUCUUUCAGCGGGGAGGCGUUACCCGCAGAAGAAGCACCGGCUAACUCCGUGCCAGCAGCCGCGGUAAUUC